UACGUAGGGGGCAAGCGUUGUCCGGAUUUAUUGGGCGUAAAGAGCUCGUAGGUGGUUCGGUAAGUCGGGUGUGAAACCUCCAGGCUCAACCUGGGGACGCCACCCGAUACUGCUGUGACUGGAGUCCGGUAGGGGAGCGUGGAAUUCCUGGUGUAGCGGUGAAAUGCGCAGAUAUCAGGAGGAACACCAGCGGCGAAGGCGGCGCUCUGGGCCGGUACUGACACUGAGGAGCGAAAGCGUGGGUAGCAAACAGG
rnacentral:rRNA from 1 species